GAUGAACGCUGGCGGCGUGCCUAAUACAUGCAAGUCGAGCGAAUGGAUUAAGAGCUUGCUCUUAUGAAGUUAGCGGCGGACGGGUGAGUAACACGUGGGUAACCUGCCCAUAAGACUGGGAUAACUCCGGGAAACCGGGGCUAAUACCGGAUAACAUUUUGAACCGCAUGGUUCGAAAUUGAAAGGCGGCUUCAGCUGUCACUUAUGGAUGGACCCGCGUCGCAUUAGCUAGUUGGUGAGGUAACGGCUCACCAAGGCAACGAUGCGUAGCCGACCUGAGAGGGUGAUGGGCUACACUGGGACUGAGACACGGCCCAGACUCCUACGGGAGGCAGCAGUAGAGAAUCUUCCGCAAUGGACGAAAGUCUGACGGAGCAAUGCCGCGUGAGUGAUGAAGGCUUUCGGGUCGUAAAACUCUGUUGUUAGGGAAGAACAAGUGCUAGUUGAAUAAGCUGGCACCUUGACGGUACCUAACCAGAAAGCCACGGCUAACUACGUGCCAGCCGCCGCCGUAA
rnacentral:rRNA from 1 species